UUGCACAAGAAGAGGUAGCAAAGACAAGCCAAGAAGGACCAAAUGAAGAAGCAAAAUUCAAGGGCUUUUUCCAUCAUAAACCAAUAAUAUUCAAGAAGCCUUUUCCAUUUGUGAAGCCUAUCCCAAAGCCAUUUCCCUUUGUUAAGCCCAUCCACAAGCCCUUUCCAUUUGUUAAGAAGCCUAUCCCAAAACCAAUCUUUGUGAAGAAACCUAUACCUUUUUACAAGCCUGUGCCAAAGGUAAUUCCUGUUCUGAAACCAAUUCCCAUUUAUAAGCCUGUGCCAAAGGUAAUUCCUGUUCCCAUUUAUAAGCCUGUGCCGAAGUUCAUUCCUGUUGUGAAACCAAUUCCCAUUUUGAAGCCUGUGCCAAAGGUAAUUCCUAUUGUGAAGCCAAUUCCUUUUUUUAAGCCUGUACCAAAGGUGAUUCCUAUUGUUAAGCCUAUCCCUAUUCACAAGCCAAGUCCAACUCCAUAAGGUGAGAAGGAAGAGCCUGCCUUGGUAUUCAAUAAAAUAACCAUGUUUUGAAACUUACCACUGUAUCUUUUCAACAUAAAUUGCCUUUGCAAAAUCCUACCUUACCCAUCUUAUAUAUGUAUUGUAUCAGAAUAUGUAGUUAACUAUUGCUUUUGUUUAAAUAAU
rnacentral:lncRNA from 1 species